rnacentral:lncRNA from 1 species
UCUCCCUCCCGCAAGCACACAGAUCCUCUCUUCUCUCCAUGUAGUCACUACUUGGGGAAGGGGAAUGGGUGGUAUCAGCAAUUCAAGACUGAUUUCUUUUCCAUCUUCAGCGCCCCUUUCCUUGAUAUGAUGUUAAAACCAGAACAAGAAACAGAUCGAGGAAGAGGCAGAGUAACAACAGCCGGGAAGAAGAUACAGUUUUGUCAUUUUGUAGUGAGACUGUGCCCUAUACAUGAACCUAUUUGCCAGACCCAUCAAGUGAAUUCCGUGAUUCUUAUGAAAAAUGCCAUUAGACCUGUGAGAGGGGCUGUGACAGUGGAACCCGAAUGAAGACAGGAAAAGUCUGUAGAGGACUGAUGGUUAUGUUCACCAUUCAAAUUGCAAGAAAACCAAUAAGAAGUCAGUAAAGUGCAUUCAAAGAGAAAGGUGGGACUCGUGAAGGGGCCAAGGGAAAAGAGCUUCAUUAGCAUAUUUGUCAAGCAGAUGUGAAAUGAGGCAGAAAACUACUAGAACAAUUGGAGAAAUCUAGAAUAUGAAGUUCCAGCACAAACUUAGAUGGCUUCUAACUAUGUGAAGGUUUGAACAGCAGCUUCUGACAUAGAAAAUAACCACAGCAAAAAGAAGCACUAACAAGUGACAGAUGUGGUUGACUCAUCUCCUUCUCCCUUCGACUCUCUAAUGAGCAAUUAAAUAGCCUGAAACAGAACAAUCAAGAGGUCUGGCAAAUCCACACACUAGAUGACUGCCUUUUCACUUAACUGUGUCCUCAUAUGGAAGAGAGGAGAAAAGAGGAGAGGAGGGGAGAGGCAAGUUCUCUUGUGUUUCUUCUUACAAAGCACAAAUGCCAUUAUGAGGGCCCCACCCUCAGGACCUCAUCUAAUCCUAAUUUCCUCCCAAAAUUAAAUCUCAAAUGUCAUCACAUUGUGGUUAGGAGUCAACACAUAAUUGGGGGUCAUGGUGGGGCAGCAAUACUAAACUGAUACACAAAGGAUCCCCGUACUUCAUCAAAAUAUCAAUGUUGUCCAUGACACACAAAGAACCCAGCUGUAGUUUAAUUCAGCAUCACAGUCCCAACAUGUUUUAAAACAUGUUCCAGCUUUUGGUCCCAGGAUUAUUCAACCUAGCUCAUAAAAGAAAACAAUAUUGCAUUUCUAAGUAUUGGCUCCUAGAAUUGGCAAGUUUAGUCAAGAAAAGCUGGAAUGCCGUUAAAACAACACCCUGUCAUCUUUCAAUCAGUCCUUAGCUGAAGUUAAAAUCCCACUCAUUCUGCAUGAUCCAGCCUCUGUAGCAUAGAGUGAGUAGCCCCUUAACAAGAACCAAAAUGGAGGGUACGGAUGAGGCUCAGAUCGUCACCACCUGGAGAAUAGAGACAGUGACUGAGUCACCAGGAAAUCUGUCCCCUGCUCAUCCCAGAAUCCCCGAGCUUUGACUUUUUAAGAGAACAUGUGACAGAUAAUGCCAUCUGAGAAGAUUCACAGAGCAACCAAAUAAAGAUGAUUGAGUGAAUGGCUAAAGAAAUAAAUAUGUUCGAAUCUGUACCCAUCUCAUGUCUUUCCUGAUGAUUGCCUCCUUUACUGUAUGUUUUCCACUGAGAUGAAGAUUUUGGUCAUUUCCUCAUUCAUGUUCCUGCUUUUCAAAACCCAAGCAAGAAAGGAAACUUCUACAGUGACUUUCUCAUUAUGAAAUCUUAGCAUUCACUAGUCGGCCAUAAUGGAAAACCAGCCAAAUGGACACAUAUACACUGGUCUGUACCCGCAGAGAAAGAAAUGCAAAUCUCUGUGAUCAGAAAACUAUCCUAUCUUGUACAUUGUUAAAAGUCUGCCUCCAAAAAGUUUACUUCUGGAAUACUGUAAUUGAAUAGAAUCAGGGAUCCUACCUGUGUCCUUCAACUUUCACAUCUUGUCUACUCAAGUAAGGGUUGAAUUUGCAUGACUAUAUCUAAGGUUCGAGGGCUUACCUGUUGGCAGUAGACCCAGUAGUCUAUGAAUGGAAAUGGGCAAACCUGUGACCUCCCAAAACUUUAAUAUGAAAGUUUUGUUUGUGUAUACUCAUGGCAUUAUUCUUUUAAUAAAGAGAUAAUCUAUAUA